ensembl:lncRNA
UGUAGCCCCGCCUUAAAGCAUCCCCUGCUUUAUGGUCUGUUAGCGACCUGUCAAUCAGCCUGUAGCCCCGCCUUAAAGCAUCCCCUGCUUUAUGGUCUGUUAGCGACCUGUCAAUCAGCCUGUAGCCCCGCCUUAAAGCAGCUUUAAUCUGUACAUUUUGAACAAAAAAGCUUUGAUUUAAAUUAUCGGAAUAUAAACAUUAACAUGCUAACCUUGUGGAUGGUGCUAGAUCAGGGGUGUCCAAACUACGGCCCGCAGGCCAACUGCGGGCCGCCAUCCAUUUAAAAUUGGCCCGCAUCAAAGUCUAAAAAUAUUGUAAUGGACUGACAUGUUCUGUGAGUGAGUUACUGAGUUUAUAAGGUCAGUGAAGGGCGAUGUGAUGUCAAUCAUCUUAGUGCGGCCUAUGGGAAUGUGUUGUUGUGAUGCUUUGGGGCGGGUUGGAGUAACGGAACGCGGGAGCGUUGGAGUUCUAGUGUUUUUCGGCGCAGGCUGCGGCCACAGUAGCCUGUUUGCCUGGUUCAUAAUAACUGAUGCUGAAUACGGGACCUACUCUACAUUCCGAAGUGCGCUGGCUCUGCGCGCACUUCCCCACGCUGACCGAAAUCACAUGCGCGUGUUCAAAUGCAGAGCUCGCUGCUUACACGGGAGAACAUGUGUGAUCACAUCUCUCAUGAAAGAAUUCAGUCAGAGACCUUUGGGCCAUUGAGAAGGAAAUCACACAGUUUUCACUUGAUGCAGAAGAAGUGGAGGAGAGUCGGCAAUUAGAAGUGAUCAGUGGGAUGAUUCUCUGAAGAAUCUGCAUCAGCUUCUCUCCUCUGAUGAGAAGCCUCGCAAAACAAAUAAUGCGUCGGAAGACGGAAGGGACACAAACGGGUUUUGUUCGGGGUGAGAGGGGUCGGCUACCAUCUUUCUAGCUUCGGGGUUUCUGGAGAGACGGCAGAUCGCGUCUCCGUUAUUUACUGCUCUUCAGGUUCAGAUGGUUUCGCUGCGAGAGGAGAUGAGCGAAUACGCAGCUCUCUUCAUCGAGGAGCAACUUGUCACAAUAAAAUAAUGUUUGAAGCCUCAAGUUUGGCAUUUUGACCGUCGCCAUCUGGUUUUUUGGAUGAAUUGUCGCCACAAAAGCCUCUCAGCGUUCAGAAAGGGUUCUUGUCUUUGUCCCUCUGCGAUGCUUUUAUUGUGUAGUUACACAGUGCCCCCCCCCCUAAACUCACCCAUCUUAAUCAAGCCCCUCCUCCAGCAGGUCAUCGGAUCCCAAAGGUUCCUCUUCUUCUUCUUCUCGUCGUCGUCUCCAGGUGGCCUCCAGCUUCAAGUAAAGAGCGAGAAGAAGAACAUCAACCAAACACUGAGACUGAGCUGCAGUCGAUCAGUAAUCAAUAGAUCCUGCUUCCACAUCGCCAUGACGAUAGGAACCAAAGAGUUCCCCCGAGUGCGCACAGAACCACCAGAACACACAACCAGAAUACCACAUGACCAGAGCCAGAACCAGAGGAGCAGUGGAGCCAGACCACAGGACCAGAACCACAGGACCAGAACCAGUGGACCAGAACCACAGGACUACAGAAGUGAGCCGUUCCUUCAGUACUCUGUCUUUCCUUUCAUUCAUCCUCACGAGUGUUCAUGGGAUCACCAAAGGGGUCCACAGAGACCAGAGGAGUCAGCACUAGUGGAGGUUGGCGGUUCGAUUCCUGGUCUCUCUGGGGAUCCACAGCAGGCAGGAAGCACACAGCGGUUUGAAUCCACCAUCUCUCCAUUUGCAUCAACACAAUUCACCUCUUCUCCAGGUGAGCUGGAUGACAGAACUUCAUCCUCAAGCUCAGAUAAAUGAACUGGGACGUUGUGACAUCAUGAGGAGCAGUCGCGAAGAUGCUUCAGCGGACUGAUGGUCAUUUGCAUAAUUUGAGGUUCUAGGGACUUUCUGCCUCCAGAAUCUUCUGAAAACAUUCAAAGAAACUUGUUUUUUCUUAUUUUAUAGAUUUCUAGGAUUAACGUUUGGAUCAAAGCUUCAUACGAACCGUUGAAUGAGGAGAAGUCGUCCAGAAGAACUCAUAAUCCAUCACCCAGUCUGACAUCUGAAGAUCUUCAUCAUUAGGAAGCUAAAUGUUAAAGAUAACAACUACCAAACAAGCUAAACCCUUCUUCUUCUUCUGUGGUGUCAGCUCGCUGACUGGAGAGCAAACAGCUGUUACCAGGAGCAGCGUUCAGCCAGGAGAGAGGAGGCAAGGAGAGAGGAGAGGAGGAAGCGACUGAUGCAAAGCGGCCGUCACGUGACACGAGGCAGUAAAGAUAAAAGUGAAAAUGUUUUAUCGUUUUAUUCUUCCAUCAUCUUGCAUCCUCUCUCCUAAGAGUCCUUCUUUCCUCUCGAGGACAGUCACAGCAUGUAUCUAUAUCUAUAUAGAUAUAUAUCUAUCUCUAUAUAGAUACAUCUAUAUAGAGAUAGAGGUAUAGAUCAUAGCUUUCUUGAUGUCAUUUACGGUUUAAGUUUCUUUUAGCAACAUGCUGUCACACAUGAGACGCAGGUCUGAUAAUGUGUGUGUGUGUGUGUCUAUGAUGGAUAACACACACACACACACACUCUGCUGGGCACAGACACACACACACACCCAGAUGUAACCGUGGUACCGAUUGAUUACAGUCCCCAGGUGAUGGUUUGUGAUCCUCACACAUUUGAUGAGGUGAAGAAAUGAAGCGCAUACAUAUAUACAGUAUAUAUAUAUAUAUAUAUAAGCUAGAUAGAUAGAUAGAUAUAUGAUGAUAUAUAUAUAUACAUAUAUAUAUAUAUAUAUAUAGAGGAGGAAGAGACCUGAUGAAGGCUCUGAGCUCUGUUCCCUCAAAACAUGGUCACCAGACGUCAAAAUGAAGCUGACCUCUGACACUGGAGCAGAUUACUGCUUCUCCUUUUGUCUUCAAAGCAAAGGAGCAAAUAGAACACCAGCAUCUUUUUAAGGAAGACAGACUGGUUCAGUGAUUACGGAGAAUUAGCCUCAUGUGACCUCUUAAGUCCACACUAGUUCACCUCUUCUUCACCCGUAACUACUAAGAUUUAUUUGACCGAUGGAAGAAGCAUCGAGAUCCGUUUAUCAAUAUUUUAUAUUAACAUUAUUAAUAUAUCAGUCUGAUGAUAACAAGCCUCCGAGGACCUGAAUCAAUACUUACAGGGUUUCAGGGAAGAGGAGGAUACAAGUCUAGAGUCUAAAAGCCUAGAGUCUACUGGUUCUGAGUCUACACUUCUGUCUAGAGCCUACAAGUAUAAGACCUACAAGUCUGGAGCCUACAAGUCUAGAGCCUACAAGUAUAAGACCUACAAGUCUGGAGCCUACAGGUCUAGAGCCUACAAGUCUAGGACCUAAAAAUCUAACACCUACAAGUCCAAGACCUACAAAUAUAGAGCCUACAAG